rnacentral:rRNA from 1 species
AUGGGUCUCAAAUAAUGUGAGACUACCCCCUAAAUUAGCUA